UUCCUUCCUAAUCCCAUU
rnacentral:snRNA from 1 species